GAUCUGGUGGCGCAGUGGCUAGCGCGUCAGUUUUACAUUGUAUGUCAAUGUGCACUGAAGGUCCUCAGUUCGACCCUGGGUCAGAUCA